rnacentral:lncRNA from 1 species
GGCAACUAAAGCUCUUUUUAUUGUCUUGUUCGGUCCCGUUCGGUUAAUUCGGUCGUGGCUGGAAAUCCCAUUUCGAGUUCUUGUGUUUCUAUGGACAAUCUCGAAAAAUUACUUCUGUCGAUGAAUUUUCUAGUUUUCCUUCGAUUUACGUGCAUAAGAUUGUUAGGUUUUGUUUAGGUAGCGUGUAGAUGUCCCCUUUUCGAUUUCGAGUUUUCCCAUCUGUCCCCUCUUUAUAUAUAAUCUGUAGAAUCUAAAGCCUCAUCUUGAUAUGUUCCUCUUCAUGUAAUCUUCAUGUUUCAGUUGUGCAUACAUGUUCGUAAUGUUUUUGUUCCUUCCGCUUCAUCUGGAUUGUGGAUGUUGUAUUCACUUGACAGAAUAGUGGUUUUAAUAUGUUGAUCGGUUGUUUCGUUUUCGUUGAUGAACUAUACUUUGAUUUCGAGAUAAUAGUGUUAUAGGCAUAUUAGGUGAGUUGACAAAAUGCUUAGUAGCUAACUCUCUCUCUCUGUAUAUAUACACACACACACGUAUAUUUAUGUUAUUACUAGUUCUAGUUGUAAUACAACAUCACCUUUCCUGGAAGGUUCUGAAACUGGAGGAGGCUUAACUUUUGCAAGUUAUUAGUGAGCAA